GUUUUAAUAGUUUAAAAUAAAACGUUGGUCUUGUAAACCAAAAACAAGAUAUACUUUUAAAACU
rnacentral:tRNA from 1 species